rnacentral:rRNA from 1 species
UGGGGAUUAUUGGACAAUGGGCGAAAGCCUGAUCCAGCCAUGCCGCGUGUGUGAAGAAGGUCUUCGGUUUGUAAAGCACUUUAAGUUGGGAGGAAGGGCAGUAAGCGAAUACCUUGCUGUUUUGACGUUACCGACAGAAUAAGCACCGGCUAACUCUGUGCCAGCAGCUGCGGUAAUACAGAGGGUGCAAGCGUUAAUCGGAAUUACUGGGCGUAAAGCGCGCGUAGGUGGUUCGUUAAGUUGAAUGUGAAAGCCCCGGGCGCAACCUGGGAACUGCAUCCAUAACUGGCGGGCUAGAGUAGGGCAGAGGGUGGUGGAAUUUCCUGUGUGGCGGUGAAAUACGUAGAUAUAGGAAGGAACACCAGUGGCGAAGGCGACCACCUGGGCUCAUACUGACACUGAGGUGCGAAAGCGUGGGGAGCAAACAAG